rnacentral:rRNA from 1 species
UGCUUAACACAUGCAAGUCGAACGGAGGCCCGGAGCUUGCUCCGGAUCCCUUAGUGGCGAACGGGUGAGUAACGCGUGGGAAUCUACCUAAAAAUGUGGAAUAACUGUUGGAAACGACAGCUAAUACCGCAUAACCCCUUCGGGGCAAAGGCUUCGGCCGUUUUUAGAUGAGCCCGCGUUAGAUUAGGCUGUUGGUGAGGUAAUGGCUCACCAAACCUGCAAUCUAUAGCUGGUCUGAGAGGAUGAUCAGCCACACUGGGACUGAGACACGGCCCAGACUCCUACGGGAGGCAGCAGUGGGGAAUAUUGGACAAUGGGGGAAACCCUGAUCCAGCAAUGCCGCGUGAGUGAUGAAGGCCUUAGGGUUGUAAAGCUCUUUCAGAAGUGAAGAUGAUGACGGUAACUUCAGAAGAAGCUCCGGCUAACUCCGUGCCAGCAGCCGCGGUAAUACGGAGGGAGCUAGCGUUGUUCGGAAUUACUGGGCGUAAAGGGCGUGUAGGCUGUUUGAUUAGUCAGAGGUGAAAUCCCUAAGCUCAACUUAGGAACUGCCUUUGAUACUGUCAUACUAGAGAUCGAGAGAAGUUAGCGGAAUUCCAAGUGUAGAGGUGAAAUUCGUAGAUAUUUGGAAGAACACCUGUGGCGAAAGCGGCUAACUGGCUCGUUUCUGACGCUGAGACGCGAAAGCGUGGGUAGCAAACAGGAUUAGAUACCCUGGUAGUCCACGCCGUAAACGAUGAGUGCUAGCCGUUUGUGAUUAAUCACAAGUGGUGCAGUUAACACAUUAAGCACUCCGCCUGGGGAGUACGAU